rnacentral:rRNA from 1 species
GCUAGCUACAGGCUUAACACAUGCAAGUCGAGGGGCAGCAUGGUCUUAGCUUGCUAAGGCUGAUGGCGACCGGCGCACGGGUGAGUAACACGUAUCCAACCUGCCGUCUACUCUUGGCCAGCCUUCUGAAAGGAAGAUUAAUCCAGGAUGGCAUCAUGAGUUCACAUGUCCGCAUGAUUAAAGGUACUUUCCGGUAGACGAUGGGGAUGCGUUCCAUUAGAUAGUAGGCGGGGUAACGGCCCACCUAGUCAACGAUGGAUAGGGGUUCUGAGAGGAAGGUCCCCCACAUUGGAACUGAGACACGGUCCAAACUCCUACGGGAGGCAGCAGUGAGGAAUAUUGGUCAAUGGGCGAUGGCCUGAACCAGCCAAGUAGCGUGAAGGAUGACUGCCCUAUGGGUUGUAAACUUCUUUUAUAAAGGAAUAAAGUCGGGUAUGCAUACCCGUUUGCAUGUACUUUAUGAAUAAGGAUCGGCUAACUCCGUGCCAGCAGCCGCGGUAAUACGGAGGAUCCGAGCGUUAUCCGGAUUUAUUGGGUUUAAAGGGAGCGUAGAUGGAUGUUUAAGUCAGUUGUGAAAGUUUGCGGCUCAACCGUAAAAUUGCAGUUGAUACUGGAUGUCUUGAGUGCAGUUGAGGCAGGCGGAAUUCGUGGUGUAGCGGUGAAAUGCUUAGAUAUCACGAAGAACUCCGAUUGCGAAGGCAGCCUGCUAAGCUGCAACUGACAUUGAGGCUCGAAAGUGU